UGGACAUACUGUUUCAGGCUUAUGACUAAGAAUUAGAAACACAGACUCAAAUUAAUUAGAUGCUCUAAUUAGAAGGUAUGCACUUGGAGGCAUUACCCGCCUUCUUACUUGGAGGCCUUCCUUGCCUUUUUCCCGUGGCAAACCAUGGCGCUUGAAAAAUAACAUUAAACAUGCACGGGUCUCAACUUGUAAGUGAUGUGCCGAAACUGCCACUACCUACAACCGUGCCCUCAGGCUUCCCUCGGACCGUCCUUAUCAAUUGUAGUCUCUGCUCUCCCACGUUAAGUCCCACCUUUUAGAAACAGCUUUUCUCGAUGGUGGCCUCCCCUGGAAGCUCUUGAACCUAUGGUGUGAAGUCGGUUCCCCGUCAGAAGGAAAUGCUUGCGUUAGGUCGUCAGACUGUUAAUUAUAACCAUGUUAUUCUGUCGAGCCUUUCCAUCGAGUUGUCAAAACAAUAUCAAAGUAGAAGAUGUUAAAUAUGAAACCACCAAGUUAUGCACUCUGCUAUUGUGGUUGUGAAGCUCGUACAGUCUGCUUGAUGUUCGCACUAAAUUUCCUUCAGGCAACAAGACGAUGAGUUCAGUGCAAGUCUUCAGGCUGUAGGGCUAAUCAUAGGCAAAGAAGUCUGGACUUCCGUGGGUUUGCAUGAACGAUUUUGAAAUGAAGAAUAGUUGUUAAGUUAUUAUUUUUGCUAGAAGAGUAGCGUCGCAAAAGAGUAUUGC
rnacentral:lncRNA from 1 species